UCCGGGAUAGUUGAGUGGUACAACGCCGCGCUGUUAACGCGGAUAUCCCUGGUUCGAAUCCAGGUCCCGGAG
rnacentral:tRNA from 3 species